rnacentral:rRNA from 1 species
UACGGAGGGUGCAAGCGUUAUCCGGAUUCACUGGGUUUAAAGGGUGCGUAGGUGGGUUGGUAAGUCAGUGGUGAAAUCUCCAGGCUUAACUUGGAAACUGCCAUUGAUACUAUCAAUCUUGAAUACCGUGGAGGUCAGCGGAAUAUGUCAUGUAGCGGUGAAAUGCUUAGAUAUGACAUAGAACACCAAUUGCGAAGGCAGCUGGCUACACGAAUAUUGACACUGAUGCACAAAAGCGUGGGGAUCAAACAGG